rnacentral:lncRNA from 1 species
GGCUUCUUAGCCGCGCCAGCCGUCACCUCAGUCUCCUCGUCUGGAAUAUGGAACUCCCAGUGUGCUGCCCUCAGUGGAACUUCACCUAUGUCUCCGAGGUGUGCAGGGCACCUUUCCGGGAGGAUGGAGCCUGUUGUUCUGGAGGAUGGCUUUCUGUUGACACUUGCAGCUGUCCCCACUCACCAUUGCAUCCCUGUGAGAUGCAGGGACAGCACAGGGGACUCCACUCUUCAGAACUGAAGAGGGCACCUUCCAAUGAUAAGAAUCCGCCUUGGCCUCUGGCAGAUGUGCUCUGGAUGUGAUUGAUUGAUACACUGGUGUCCUUCCGGGAUAGUGUCCCAUCUUGACCAGAUACAUGCCCAUCCUUUGGAACCGAGGGCCAGACCGGCCUGGCUGGCUGAGAUAGAGAAGGAAAGGACUCAAGGUCUGUCUGAGCCCCCUCUCCCUGCUAAUCACAAGCUGUCUGGGAGCACAGUUGGAAAAUCAGGCAAGUCAGAAGGGGUCGAACCUCAUCUGCAGCAGACUGGAUCAGGAAGGAGGAAGAAGGAGAAACUUGGAAGUCACCAGGCUGCUUCUCACCAGCCCUGUGUCCUCACCCUUGACGACUCAGGUGUCAUUGCUUUGACAAAUGGACUGUGAGCUCAGUCCCUGUGUGUGAGCGGGUGUAGAAAGCUUCUCCCUUCCAGAUGCAGCAGCUCAGUACUUGCCUUGUGCACAGGCACGGCUUUCUUCUUGGAGAAGGAAAAAAGGCCAUCCUCACAGUGAAACUUGCUUCAUUCGUCUCAGGAGUAAUGCAAUCACUCAAAGUGUUCCCAGAUGCGCAGGGGGCUGUUGGUUACCUGCGAACACAACAUCCCUUUAUAAUGAGGACGCUCAUGCGAACGGAGACUCAGAGAAGUCUAGCGGCCUCCCCGCCCCCUCGGGCCUGCCCUUCGUUUGAUGGAGUGAAUGAUUGA